rnacentral:lncRNA from 1 species
UUUGUUAUUUGAAUGGAUAAACCCAUUUCCUACGUACCAUCACAAAGGUAGGAUCAAAACCUCGUAGUUCGGGGUAAAAAUCUCAAAAGGUUGGUGAAUUUAUUUGGUCAAAAGCCUUAAGGUCUUUUGUUAUCAAAGGGAGAAAACUCAACCUAAACCAACAAUCCACCAUGUGAGGAGGGCUUCAACAUACUAGUGAGGGGGUAA